CUUGGGGGUUGGGGGGUCCCUCACCUGGAUUGCAAGAGGGUGCAGGCCAAGCUGAGGGACUCCACCAGUGCACG
rfam:Myotis brandtii contig269587, whole genome shotgun sequence.